rnacentral:rRNA from 1 species
AGAAUCAACGCUGGCGGCGUGCCUAACACAUGCAAGUCGCACGAGAAAGGGACUUCGGUCCUGAGUAAAGUGGCGCACGGGUGAGUAACACGUGAAUCAUCUACCUCCGAAUGGGGAAUAACUGAGAGAAAUCUUAGCUAAUACCGCAUAAUACCUACGGGUCAAAGCAGCAAUGCGUUUGGAGAGGAGUUCGCGGUCGAUUAGUUAGUUGGCGGGGUAAUGGCCCACCAAGACGAUGAUCGAUAUCCGGCCUGAGAGGGCGCACGGACACACUGGAACUGAAACACGGUCCAGACUCCUACGGGAGGCAGCAGUGGGGAAUUUUGCGCAAUGGGGGAAACCCUGACGCAGCAACGCCGCGUGGAGGAUGAAAUAUCUUGGUAUGUAAACUCCUUUCGAUGGGGAAGAUAAUGACGGUACCCAUAGAAGAAGCCCCGGCUAACUUCGCGCCAGCAGCCGGC